rnacentral:rRNA from 1 species
GAAGCACCGGCUAACUCCGUGCCAGCAGCCGCGGUAAUACGGAGGGUGCAAGCGUUGUUCGGAUUUAUUGGGCGUAAAGCGCGUGUAGGCGGUCUUUUAAGUCUGAUGUGAAAGCCCUGGGCUCAACCCAGGAAGUGCAUUGGAUACUGGGAGACUUGAAUACGGGAGAGGGUAGUGGAAUUCCUAGUGUAGGAGUGAAAUCCGUAGAUAUUAGGAGGAACACCGGUGGCGAAGGCGGCUACCUGGACCGAUAUUGACGCUGAGACGCGAAAGCGUGGGGAGCAAACAGGAUUAGAUACCCUGGUAGUCCACGCCGUAAACGAUGAGAACUAGGUGUCGCGGGU